rnacentral:rRNA from 1 species
UCGGCCGGGCCAGUGGCACGGCCAGCUCUGCGCACAGAAGAUCAGCAAAGACCCCCGGUGCACAAGAAGGAAACGACGCUCAGACAGGCAUGCCCGCCGGAAUACCGACGGGCGCAAUGUGCGUUCAAGAACUCGAUGAUUCACGAUGGCUGCAAU